GACGGAAGGUGCAAGCGUUGCUCGGAAUCACUGGGCGUAAAGGGUGCGUAGGCGGCUUGGUGGGUCUGGUGUGAAAGCCCCGGGCUCAGCCCGGGAAGGGCACUAGAAACUGCCGAGCUGGAGUGCCGGAGGGGAGAGUGGAAUUCCUGGUGUAGCGGUGAAAUGCGUAGAUAUCGGGAGGAACACCAGUGGCGAAGGCGGUUACCUGGAGCUUUGCUGACGCUGAUGCGCGAAAGCGUGGGGAGCGAUCCGG
rnacentral:rRNA from 1 species